UACGUAGGGUGCAAGCGUUGUCCGGAAUUUAUUGGGCGUAAAGAGCGUGUAGGCGGCCCGGUUAGUCCGCUGUGAAAGUCCAGGGCUCAACCCUGGAAAUGGCCGGUGGAUACUGUCGGGCUAGAGUCCGGAAGGGGCGAGUGGAAUUCCUGGUGUAGCGGUGAAAUGCGCAGAUAUCAAGGAGGAACACCAAUGGCGAAGGCAGCUCGCUGGGACGUGACUGACGCUGAGACGCGAAAGCGUGGGGAGCGAACAGG
rnacentral:rRNA from 1 species